GUGCCGUCAGCGGGCUGUGGGCGGCCGCUGCCCCUGGCCGGCGGAGACCAGGGUCAGAAACAGCCACCUGGUGCCCGGGGUCCUGCAGCUGGUGGCCCGGGGGCGGCCUGAGGAGCUGAGCACAGGCUUGUCUGCUGAGCUGGGUCUUGGCAAGGUUGGAUCAGAGUCGUCUGUCGCCUUUCAGUUUCUUGGGGACUUCUCUGGCCUUUUGGGAUCGGAGAGAGCAGAACUGGAGUCUGGGAGGCCUGAAGGCUGAAGGCACGGGUCAGGGGACCGGCUGGAGCUCCGGGAGCUGGCCUGUGACGGGACUGAUGGCACUGCCGCUCCCCUGGUCUCCCUUGACCCCACCUUCAGGAGGGCUCCCAGCCAGGGUGUCCCGAGGGUCUGGUCAGGAUGCGGGGAUGUCGCCAGCAAGCAGGAUUCCAGAUCCAGGGGGCCUCAAGUGGGCCCCCACCCCGGGCUGUCACCCCCUCAGGCAGACACCAUGAGUGUCCAGCCCAGGGUGUCGCUAUAGCUGUGACCCGGCCACUCUGAGGUCACCACCCAGGGGCCGCCUCUCCAUCAACAAAUGGAACGAGCGACUUGGCCAGGGGCCCCAACCCGAAAUUUCUAGGGGAGACCCAGACCCAGGCCUUUUAGCACCAGGUCCUGGCCUGGGCGUGUGGUCCCAGAAGAGCACGGACCCCGUCCCCCGCCUGCAGUGACCCCUCCUCGAUCCCCAAGCCCCAUCUGAGGGGGUUUCCGAAAGAUGACAGAUGGCAAAGUGACGCUGGGGGAGCUGGUAUUGCGGUCGCUUGGGGUGUGAUCCCCAACCCUGGAGGGCAUGUGGGUUGCAGCUGAACUGGCAGAUGGAGGCAGGGUGGGGGCCUGGGUGGGGUGUGCCAGGCUUAAGGGUGCGUGUCGUGGGCGGAACUCGGACCCACCUGGGCCCCAAUCCCACCAGGGCCCCCAGCUGGGCGGAGUCAGCGCAGCUGCUCACUGAGGCUUGACGGCCCUUCUGUGAAAUGGGCUCAGUCACACGGGCUCAGGGCUCCGUGUGGACAUAGCCCUGCUGGGCAGAGUCACCCACGUCUGCUGCCUGAGGGCCCUUCGUCCCCUCGCAAAACAACCACCUCACAGCAGAGAACAUCAAGGCGUGGGGACCCCGGGGUCCCCCACAGUCCGGGGCUGCCCUGACAACCCUGGAGUGGGCGGGGCUGCCCCCAGGGGCUCCUGGGGAAGGUCCUUGGGCUCCUGGCGGCUGCGGGUAUCCCGGGGUUGUGUGUCUCAUCCCUCCUCCAGGCCAGCAGGCCCCCAGCCCCGGUCAUCCACAAAGACCCUAUUUCCAAAUUAGGUCACUUCUGAGGUUCCUGGUGGACAGGAAUCUGAGGGUAACCUGGCACGUGUCACCUCAGGACAGUGGGCCACCACGACCCUCAAGACGUGCUGCUUGGCCAGGUGGCCGAGGUCUGCAUUCAGGACGGCUCCAGAGACAGCUCUGGCCAGACCGCCCCCACCCCUCCUCCCUCCCCAGCCAUCAUUUAUUAAACGCCAGCUGUAAGCCGGAGCCCGCCCUCCCCGCCCCCCCACCUCCUGGAGGGGUGUCUUCACUCUCCUUCCCCGGGGGGUAACCCGGGGCCUGGGAGGCCUUCCGCCCACUGCCCUCUGGUCUCCGUGUUCUGGUGUGAACGCCUGUGCCCUGGGGCUGGGUGCUGGCUGGGCUCCGGGCCUGUGGCUGAUCCACGAGGCAGCGCUUCGGUGAGCAGAGCAGAGGAAAAAGGCCGGAGAGGAGCAGCGUCUCUGGGUCUCCGCCGGGCUGCCCCCGGGCACUCGGACACCCGCUGGCCUGCCGUCUGGGCGCCGAUCUGCAGCCAGGAUGGGGAGCCUGCAGGCUGCCCCACUGAGCAAGACCAUUUCAGGACCCAGCAGAGAGGGACACUCUGGAGGACACAGAGCCCCCUGCGUCCUGCAGGCUAGCUGUGACUAGAAACCCCAGGGUUUACUGCUGUCACCGGCAGCCCUGCCUGGUGAGCAAGCCCCUUGCUGAGCAGGUGGGAAGUCCCCUGAGGCCUGAAGCCUUCCCUUUUCUCAGGAAACUGUCUCCGAGCUGUUGCGGGCAGGCCCGUGGGCCUGGGACGCAUGUGCCAAGGGGCCAGUCCUGACUCAGAGGCCGGGGGGCGGGGGAGGCAGCCGCUCUGGCUGCAGCGAGGGGAGGGUGAGGCCUGGGAUGGGGGCCAGAGACCCCACAAACGGGACCCGGGCCGGACCAUGGAUGCAAGCAUACUGAUGUGCCUCGGAAGAGCGGCACUAGGGGAUAGUGGCCUGGCCUCGAGGCCCGUGCUUCCUGGUCCCAGCGCCCAUCCUGGCCAGGCCCCGGUGCCCUGAUGACAGGUGCAGGGAGCGCUGCUUCCAGAAUAAGGAGGGGAAGGAAAGAGACCCCGGUGUGGCUGGGGGCUGGGAGGGCUGGACAGAUGGAGCUGCAUCCUGAGACGUGCCAGGGGGUCUUGGAGCGUGACAAGGGCGGGGACAGCCCCUGGGGACGAGGGAACAGGAAGUACGAGGCCCCGGGGCUUGAAACAACCCUGGACAUUUAACCCGCCGGUCCUCACUGCUCCUCCCUCUGCAAAACGAGCCUUCUCCAGCCUGCUCCCUCCUCCCUGGGGCGGGGGUUGCCUAGAAGGGCGCCAGGGGCCCCGGGGGGCCUUGGGGUCAGGGGCUUCCAUGCCCCACCCACCCCCAGGACCUGGCCCUCGCCCUCAGGGGUGGUUGGGGGACGGGGAGCGGGUCACACCUGAGCAGUGGGCAUGGAUGGGGCUCCCCGAGGCCACUUCACCGCUUCGGGCUGCCGCCUCCACAAGCCUUGCGGGCCCCUGGCUGCACAGGCCGUGUCGGUGCCCGGGGAGGAGCAGACAGGCCGCGUCAGCCCGUUUUCUCCGUGUCACGGGGCUGAUAGGGAUGGAGGCCGGCAAAGGGGGACCGGGUGGUUCCUGCCAGAAACCUGGCCUUUCUGACUUUGGCGUUAAAUCCAUCACACAAGGAACGCUGGUUCCGGAGAAAACGGGCCCAAGCGAGCUUGGGACGCAGGCCUUCACCACCCCUGCCCGGGGUCUCUCACGUUCGGAUGGGAGGAAUGGAGGGUCCGAGGGGCAGGGGCCCUGGCGAAGCCCCUGUGGACCGAGGGUCCCAAGGUUGCCGGGAGGUGAGUCAGCUCCCUGAGCACUGUCUGAGCUGGUACCACACGCGUGACCUCUGGGGCCACCCGCCGGGCUCAUGCGCAGAGGCUUUGGGGAUGAAAGGGUGGAGUGAGUGGCUGGGCUGGGAGCAUCAGGUGCAGGGCUCGGACCUCUGAGCACGGGGAGCCGGGUGGGUCACAGGCCAAGCCCCCAGCCCCGUGCCGAGCGCCCGCCCAGCAACACAGGAGGAGCGAUGGGGGGCAGAAAGGGAGGGCUGGGCCUCCUCCCCCACGAUGGAGAGGUUCGGAGUCUGGGGUCUGGGCCUCGUCCUCUCUCUGCGCUGCCCAGCUGUGUGCCUUUCAGAGGUGCCCACGCUUCUCCAGUGCUGAUCCCUGGGGAUGGUCGCAGGCCUCAGGCUGCCCCUCGGCUCUGCCCUGGACGUGCUGUCGUUGUGUGGAGGGCUGCCCCCUCCCCAUUCUCUCCACGUGCCUCCCUGUCACUCAGGGUUCCUGCCUCCCCCCGGGGGCCUUCCUGGCUGUCCGGCUCCCUUUCCUCCCCGCCCGGGGCUUAGGGGACCCUCCCUUCCCUUCCCAGGACUGGCCACGCGGAACCCACACUGCCCCGCUUGUAUCCAGACCCUCAGUCCCAGCAGGCCUGCCGCCCUGGGCAGAGCGGGCCACCAGGUGGGGAGGCGUCCGCAGAGUUUGUGGAAACAAACAAAGACUUUAGAGUGUGGGGCCCACCCCCACCCCCAUCCUGUGGGCAGAGGUGAUGAGGAAGGUGUAGGGGCCCAGCCCCCAGUGGAGCCAGCUCAAGGUCGAGCCCAGCACCCCGGGGACAGUGUCCCUCAAGGGGUGAGGGCCCAGGCGGCACCCCUGCCCCUGCCCACCCUGGCUCCCCCAUCUGGGUGAGACAUUCCUCACCCCACACUGAAUGCCUUUGAGGGAGGCUUGGAAGCUCGGGGCGGCACUGGGAAGCCUCACCUGGGAGGAAGCUCCCGGAGGCAGGAGCAUGGCCAUCAGGAGCUGGCGGUUGGGGUGCGAGCUUCUGUGUCUGUUUGCCUUUUAUUUUUUAUUUUUAUCAUCAUUAUUAUUUUUGUCUCUUUAGGGCUGUACUCUCAGCAUAUGGAGGUUUCCAGGCUAGGGGUCUAAUCGGAGCUGUAGCCGCCGGCCUACACCACAGCCACAGCCACACCAAAUCUGAGUAGUGUCUGCGACCCACACCACAGCUCAUGACAACGCCAGAUGCUUAACCCACUGAGCAAGGCCAGGGAUGGAACCCACAUCCCUAGGGACACCAUGUCGGGUUCUGAGCCACAGCGGGAGCUCCCUCUUUGCCUUUUACAAUAAAGACCUUGGGCUUCCUCCUUCCUCCCUCCCUCCAUCCUUUCUUCCUCCUUCUUUUGUUUUUUGUCUUUCUCUCUUUUUAGGGCUGAACCCACGGCAUACGGAGGUUCCCAGGCUAGGGGACAAAUCAGAGCUACAGCUACCAGCCUACGCCAGAGCCACAGCAACGCCGGAUCUGAGCCACAUCUGCGACCUACACCACAGCUCACGGCAAUGCUGUAUCCUUAACCCACUGAGCAAGGCCGGGGAUCGAACCUGCAACCUCACGGAUCCUAGUCGGGUUCUUUAACCACUGAGCCACAACAGGAACUUCACCUUCCUUCUUUCUCUGUUUCUUCUCUCGCUUUGCUUCUUCCGGGCAGCUGGAAGUUAUUUUGGUUUAAGAAGUGAGAAUUGACAACUAGAGGAAGUCAAAAGAGAAGAAUAAGAAUUGCUGGAGGCCCAGGCUCUUCCCUCGAGAACCCUUUGAUGAGCUCCGUGGCACCAGCAUGUACGCAGGGUCUGAAUGCCGGCUGUGAGGUCAGACUCGGGGGUGCUGGUGACUUUCUGGCAGAGCAUCGUUUCAAGAACAAUCCUGAAACUCAGGGAAAUGUAAAGGUCCCGUCUCAUAAACUUCUACAGCGGUGGAGUCGAGUGUAACAUUGGAAUGUGAAAAAAGUGCUUUAAAAACAGUUUUUUUCUAGUUUGGGGGAAAUUGUUUCUUUCUGCAAAGAAAUAUUUUAUUAAGUCGAAUCAUUAUAAAAGCUCUAUGGCCAUGAGUCGCCAUGGCAUUAAAACCAUAUCUGAGAGGCAAGCUGUAAGGUGUCUGUGCAAAGCUCACGGGCUGACUGCUGAUUUACUAUUUCAUUCUUAGGCGGAGGAUUCUGCACACUCAUGUUUAUAGUCAUUUAAUUCAGACCAUGGAUUAUUCUCACGUGCAAGCUAGGGAAUUCAUGUGGUUUGUAAUGGCCCCAAUGCCAAAGGUGUUGGAAAUGGAAAUAAAUUAGAAUUGUUUAUGGUUUUGGAGUCGUUAAAAAAAAAAUAAGGACUGUGGGCAUGUAUGGGGUGUGUGUGUGUGGGGGGGUCCCCCGGUUUCCUCAUCUGUAAAAUGGGGGGCUUGCUCUCCCCGCCAGCUGCAGUGAACUGCUUCUCUGAGGCACCUGGUACCUGCAGGUGGUGGCAGAUGCUCGUGUCUGAGGCCCUCUGGGGGCCUGUGGAGAUGCGCCACCAUCCUGGGACCGUCCUGGGUCCGUCUCUGGUUCUCAGGCCGGGAGCCUGGAAGGAGGAUCUGACUCUGCCGCUGGCCCCCUGCGCCCAGUGCCGCUGGAAAAGUGGGGGGCUCGAGGCCAGCCCUGCUUUUCAGUGUGCAGUUUUGUCCCCAGGAAGUGGGCUCAGAGGGGGCUCUGCUGUCUCCCCGUGUGAGCUGCUUGGUGCAGAGGCAAACGUGCUGGCCGCCUCUGGGUUUGGGGUUGAAACCUCGCAGCUCAGCCUCAGGGAACAGUGAGACCUGAAGCGAGGGGCUGAUUUGCACGGGCUUCCGGGCCUCGAUCUUGCCCCCGCCUCUGCCAUGCCUCCUCCUCCCUGUCCCCCCAGGUGGAAGCUGAGAGGGACACGGUUGACACCAAUCUCGUGGCUGCAACGGGGGUCUGCCCAGGCUGUGCCCACUCUCCCUGUCCCCCGUGACCGAGGCGGACUCUGUCCCGUGUCCUUGCAUCGGUGACAAAGCCUUCACCCCAUGAGCACCGUCUGUCCCGUCACAAAGGCCCUCCCUCACCUCUGACCCCAGGAAGGAGGGGUGCACAAGGACCGGCUCCUGGGGGAAGGCCCGAGGGCGCCCCGGAUGUGGGGAGCAGUGGCCAGUUCCUCUUUGCCUGCCCACGGCCCCGGCUCCCGUCCCUCCCGGGCCGCCUGGGACCUGACCCAUUUCCUGUAAAACUGCACGGUGUUCCUUCCGGGGACACUGCUGAGGCUCAGGCCUCUUCCCGUCUGAAGGAGCAGCGGGAUCUCCUGGGACUCCCAGGCUGGAGCCCCAGCCCCACUGAGCCCCGGGAAGCAGAACGGGAUGGGCUUCUCAGGAGAUGCGCUCUCUGGGGGUGGGGGUGGGCCGACUCCAGCCCUUGCUGGGUGGGACACGUGGUGGGCUUAUCCCUAAACCACGGUCCCAGGGUCGUCCCGAAAGGACACUGCCCUGUGCCCUGUUCCCACACUGCCUUUAUGCGCCUGUGUUGCCCAGGGGUCUGUUGAUGAGCAGGAAUGGGCCCCCUGGAGUUCUCACUGUGGCUCAGCAGGAUCAGUGGCGUCUCUGCAGCGCCAGGACGCAGGUUCAUUCCCCAGCCCGGUGCAGUGGGUUCAGGGUCUGGCACUGCUGCCGCUGUGACAUAGGUCACAACUGUGGCUCUGAUCUGAUCCCUGGCCCGGGAACUCCAGACGCAGGGGAGCGG
rnacentral:lncRNA from 1 species